rnacentral:rRNA from 1 species
GUGCUUGCACCUUUCAAGCGAGUGGCGAACGGGUGAGUAACACGUGGAUAACCUGCCUCAAGGCUGGGGAUAACAUUUGGAAACAGAUGCUAAUACCGAAUAAAACUUAGUAUCGCAUGAUACAAAGUUGAAAGGCGCUACGGCGUCACCUAGAGAUGGGUCCGCGGUGCAUUAGUUAGUUGGUGGGGUAAAGGCCUACCAAGACAAUGAUGCAUAGCCGAGUUGAGAGACUGAUCGGCCACAUUGGGACUGAGACACGGCCCAAACUCCUACGGGAGGCUGCAGUAGGGAAUCUUCCACAAUGGGCGAAAGCCUGAUGGAGCAACGCCGCGUGUGUGAUGAAGGCUUUAGGGUCGUAAAGCACUGUUGUAUGGGAAGAAAUGCUAGAAUAGGGAAUGAUUCUAGUUCGACGGUACCAUACCAGAAAGGGACGGCUAAAUACGUGCCAGCAGCCGCGGUAAUACGUAUGUCCCGAGCGUUAUCCGGAUUUAUUGGGCGUAAAGCGAGCGCAGACGGUUGAUUAAGUCUGAUGUGAAAGCCCGGAGCUCAACUCCGGAAUGGCAUUGGAAACUGGUUAACUUGAGUGUUGUAGAGGUAAGUGGAACUCCUGGGUAAAACGG